rnacentral:rRNA from 1 species
UACGGAGGGGGCUAGCGUUGUUCGGAAUUACUGGGCGUAAAGCGCGCGUAGGCGGACCUGCAAGUCGGGGGUGAAAGCCCGAGGCUCAACCUCGGAACUGCCUUCGAUACUGCGGGUCUCGAGUCCGGGAGAGGUGAGUGGAAUUCCUAGUGUAGAGGUGAAAUUCGUAGAUAUUAGGAAGAACACCAGUGGCGAAGGCGGCUCACUGGCCCGGUACUGACGCUGAGGCGCGAAAGCUAGGGGAGCGAACAGG